UACGAAGGGUGCAAGCGUUAUCCGGAUUCAUUGGGUUUAAAGGGUGCGUAGGCGGGUCUUUAAGUCAGGGGUGAAAUCCUGGAGCUCAACUCCAGAACUGCCUUUGAUACUGAGGAUCUUGAGUCCGGGAGAGGUGAGUGGAACUGCGAGUGUAGAGGUGAAAUUCGUAGAUAUUCGCAAGAACACCAGUGGCGAAGGCGGCUCACUGGCCCGGUACUGACGCUCAUGCACGAAAGCGUGGGGAGCAAACAGG
rnacentral:rRNA from 1 species